AGUCCAAGAGUUGGUGAAAGGCCUUUGUAGUGUAGCUGGUUUCAUCUGAGGUCCAUCAUGACGUUUUUUCUGAAAAUCAAAAAACAAACAACAAAAAACAGUUGUAUCUAUACAUCAAUGCAAAAACCAACACGUGCGUGCAAAUUCACCACAGAAGAAAUUGUUCCAUUCGACGAGCCAAUCACCAGCUAGAUUGCCUUAAAUGGAAAAUAGUGUGUAAGUCAUAACUUGUGUGAGAAGGACGUGUGAAGCUGCCUUUCAGCCCCGGGUCAUCAUCAGACAUGGACGGACUGUGGAUUAUUCUCGUUGCUCUCUCAGGAGUUGUUUCCUCCAGUCAUGGUUGGAUUUCUUUACCAACACUGGAGGUGACAGUCAGACCUGGAGACAACAUCACUCUCUACUGUGACUGCAGAAGACCAUCUGGAGCCUCCACACUGUGGUUCAGGAACUGUUCCCAUGAAAACCAGCCUACUCUUGUUCUAGAUUCAACAGAUCAGAAACUGUGGACUCCUGCAGACAAACUAGUAUGUCCUUGUUUCGAAUUUGUUAAGAACUUUUCCACUGAUUCCUAUGACCUGCUGAUCAGGAGCAUUACUGAUUCAGAUGAAGGUCUCUACUACUGUGGAAUUAAAAAAGCAAUUGUGGAGGAUAGAGAAUACAUCACUACUAGACAUGUUUACAGAUACGGCAACAUCACCACAAGGCUUAUAGUUGCCUCUGUCGUUAACAAGGUAACUGCUGCGCUGGAGUUUAUCCCUGAUCCGAAGCCCUGAGAGACUCCAGUGAACCUCAAGGAGACGUCCACGACACCAUGGAAGACUGCAGUCUGUGCUGGAAGCUGCUCUUCUCUCUGUGUCCGUCUGUUGCCAUUCUCUCCUCCAUGUUCAUUUUACAGCUCUGUCGGGAAACAGCCAAACGUCUUCAAGUUGAUGAGAGAAAAAUUGACACCGGAGGCCAGAUACCACCCAUUCAGGAUGAAGAUGAGUUUCAUGCUGCGCUGGAACUCCAUCAGGCAACACAGAGACCAAAGAGGAUGAAGAUCUGGAGCUCUGACAUAACGGUCUGCACCUACUCUGUCAUCAGAACCUCUGACCUAACCAUGUAAUAUUAGAAACAACACAAUGAACCGAUAACAGGGGCCACAUAUUGUAAAUGGAUCCUCUUUGGAGGAAACAUAAUUAGCAGGCAGGGUGUCUCUUUCCAUUCUUUAUGAUGCUCAGACUUAGCUGCCUAGCUUCCAACCAACUUCCUGCCGUCAUGACUCUGAUGUUUCAUGAUCGUGUUUUGAGUUUCCUGUUUUAUUUUGUUAAGUUCCUUGGUUUCCUGUUUUGUGUUGUUGCCUGUGUUCUCUUUCCUUGAUUGCUUAUUAGUUUGGAUUCCUGACAUCUUUUAAAGACACAGAAUCAGAAGAAAAGAGAUCACAACACUCUGGUUUCAGCAGAUCACUUCUGACUCCCAGUGUGUGUUUUAGAAUUGAUUUUAAGCUCUUAUUGAUCACUUACUACACAUUACUGACCUUUUAGCACCACACAGGCUGAUACGUACCUUAAGAUCCUCAGGCUGAGGUCUGCUGUCUGUUCCAGGGGCCUGGCUGAAAACAAAAGGUUGUUCUUGGUUAGGGCCCCUCGUCUGUGGAAGAAUCAGCCUGAGGAAAUUAGGUCACUAUAGUCUGUGAUCUCCUUUGAUCUGCUACUUAAGACAUACUGUUAGCAGAGAGUGUUUCCUGUUUUUUAGUUGUGUAUAAAGUGAGUUUAAAUUUUUUAUAUAUGCCUGUUUUUAAAAUUGCAGAUUUUUAUGUUGCUGUGAAGCUGUUUAAAGUGUUGACUUGAUUAUCAUCAUCAUUUUAUUAUCCAAUAUUUUAAUACUCUGUAUUGUUUCUGAUGUGCUUCACUGUGUUAUUAUCCUGUCAUAAUUGAAUUCAUGUGGCAAUAAAUCAGAUCCACCUUUACA